rnacentral:tRNA from 1 species
GGUUUCGUGGCUCAAUGGCAGAGCGUCUGACUACGAUUAUCUACGUUGUGAUCAGGAGGUUCCAGGUUCGACCCCUGGCGAGAUCG